GACGAACGCUGGCGGCGUGCUUAACACAUGCAAGUCGAACGGAAAGGCCCUGCUUUUGUGGGGUGCUCGAGUGGCGAACGGGUGAGUAACACGUGAGUAACCUGCCCUUGACUUUGGGAUAACUUCAGGAAACUGGGGCUAAUACCGGAUAGGAGCUCCUGCUGCAUGGUGGGGGUUGGAAAGUUUCGGCGGUUGGGGAUGGACUCGCGGCUUAUCAGCUUGUUGGUGGGGUAGUGGCUUACCAAGGCUUUGACGGGUAGCCGGCCUGAGAGGGUGACCGGCCACAUUGGGCCUGAGAUCAGGCCCAGACUCCUACGGGAGGCAGCAGUGGGGAAUAUUGCACAAUGGGCGGAAGCCUGAUGCAGCAACGCCGCGUGCGGGAUGACGGCCUUCGGGUUGUAAACCGCUUUCGCCUGUGACGAAGCGUGAGUGACGGUAAUGGGUAAAGAAGCACCGGCUAACUACGUG
rnacentral:rRNA from 1 species